UACGUAGGGGGCAAGUGUUGUCCGGAUUUAUUGGGCGUAAAGAGCGUGUAGGCGGUUGGGUAGGUCCGUUGUGAAAACUCGAGCUCAACCUCGAGACGCCGAUGGAAACCCCCCAGCUAGAGUCCGGAAGAGGAGAGUGGAAUCCUGGUGUAGCGGUGAAAUGCGCAGAUAUCAGGAAGAACACCCGUGGCUAAGGCGGCUCUCUAGUACGGUACUGACGCUGAGACGCGAAAGCGUGGGGAGCGAACAGG
rnacentral:rRNA from 1 species